rnacentral:lncRNA from 1 species
CCGCGCCUCUCCCGCCACACCUCCCUGCAAGCUGAGGGAGCCGGCUCCUGCCUUGGCCAGGCUAGAAAGGGGCUCCCACAGUGCAGGGGCGGGCUGAAGGGCUCCUCAAGUGCCACCAAAGUGGGAGCCCAGGCAGAGGAGGUGCCGAGAGCGAGCGAGGGCUGCGAGGACUGCCAGCAGCUGUCACCUCUCGUUACCAUCACUCCUAGUGACCAUUUCGGAUAAUCCACCUUGCCUCAUCAAACCAGAAAACAAUUCAAACCUGGCCUCCUUCUAACUGGAAGCCACAUUUUAAGAACUUAUUGUGAAGAACUGGAAAGCCUCCAAUAGAACAGAAGCUAAAAGCAGAAAUUAUAAAAGCUGUUACACCUACUCAGCUCUAUUACAUGUUGGAAAAACUGAACCAGAGAAACAAUUACAUACACUCUUGUCUUCUGGAAAAGCUGAAUUGGGUUUUGGUCUGAAUCAAUAGCACGGGACCUGGCAUGGAGCAGCAUUCAAAAUAUUGGGUAGAAGGAAAAAGGAAGAAAGAAGGGAAGGACAGGGAAGCAAGGAAAUAAAGGAAAUCAGGCUAUAUAUACAGUGAUGCCCAUCUACCCCUGAGAUCUAAAAAUCUAAGAUGAAAACGAGCACACAGUCUUGGCAGCAUUGGGGUAACAGACUAUGAAAGAAGAAAUCAGAUUGGAAAAUUCAGUAUAUCAAUGAAGAAAAUAAUCACUCAAGGAGAGGAAUAAACAGCAAAACAAUCUAUAUAUUUAAUUAUAGAUACAAUUGUUUCAAUGCUGAUUAUUCAUCCUUAUAUAACUGUCUACAGCUAUUUAGGGUUGUCUUCAUCCAUUUUGUGUUGCCAUUGCAGAAUACGUGAAACUGGGUAAUUUGUAAAGAAAAGAGAUUUUUUAACUUAUGGGUUCUGCAGGAUGGGAAGUUCAAGAAACAUGACACCAGCAUCUGCUUGGUUUCUGUUGAGGACUUUCAUGCUUAUAUCACAACAUGGCAGAAGGUUAAAGGGGGAGUAGACAUGUGCAAAUAGGCAAAACCUGAGGGGCAUCUUGGCUUUAUAACAACCCACUCUUGGAGGACUAAUUCAUUCUUGAGAGAACUAAUCUGGUCUUGCCAGAGAAAAAAUUCACUCACUGCCUACUGUGAGAAUAGCACUAAGCCAUCCAUGAGAGUGGAGCCCCAUCACUCAAACACCUCCCAUUAGGCUCUACAGCUUACAGAUUAUACCUCCUAACAUUGCCACAGUGGGAAACAAAUUUCAAGAUGAGAUUUGGUGGGGACAGACCAUAUCUAAACAAAGAGUAAACAAGGGUAAACAACUUUUGAGAACAUACUUGUGAUCCUUUAUUUCAACCCAGAAUGAUGCCAGAAUUUUGGAGAUGGGGCUCAGAGCAAAUCAGUAAGUUACAAUUCUCAAGUUUCACAGGGAAGUGGGAGUGAGAGACACAUCAUGGAGGACCACGCGACUCUCAGUUACACUGGGUGAAUUGUCUUCAUUGAAUUCCCGCACCAUGCAGACUCAUUUAACGGUAGUUCUUCCAAAGCUGCUUUUCUGCUUUGCUUUUGGAAUACUACUUUAUCUAAAUUUUCAUCUACCCUUUCAAUUCCUAUGCUUCUUGUGUUGAUUUCUCUUUUCCGACUUCUCAGAUUUUUAAUCUCAUUUUUAAACAUGAGAAUUCUCUGAGGUCUAUUUCUUGACCCUUUGUCCUCUUUUUAACUAUCCCUUGGGAAACUUGCACAAUCUAAAUGACUAACUAGAACUUAUGAGAUUAUGAGCCAGAUCUCUCCCUGCUUAUGAGCCCAUUUCAAUUAGAUGUCUCAGCAUCAUUGUAAGUUAAAAUGCAUAAAAUCCAAAACAAUAAAUUUUUCUCAAACCAAUGUUAUAUCUGAAAUGGUUAUUUCAAUGACUUUAAUGACUUUCAAUAACUUCAAUGACCUUAGCUUCUUUCUGUUCUUUCCACAAGCUAGUGCUUUAAUUUUUUAAGAAUAAACUUAACAGAUGAAAUGAUAAAGACAUAAUUUUUAUGUUGUGUUAUACUCUUGAUGGAAAUAUUUCCAAAUCUUUUGAAUGAAGAGCUUUGAAGAAAAACCUG